AUAAUAAUAAUAAUGAUAAUAAUAAUAAUAAUAAUUUAUAAUAAUCAUUAGAAAAAGCUCGUUAAGGCCCAGCCAGCCCCUCCCCCAACCCAAAAAUGACCAGAAAAGGAGUUUUUUUCCCAAAAAAACCUUUAAUAAAUACAAGGAGGGGAAGCUCCCAGUGCUCCCAGUGCUCCCAGUAAGGGCUCGGGGCUCCCAGUUCCAUUUUGGGGAGAAAAGGGGGAUUUUGAGGGGAGAAAAGGGCGGGAAAACGUGAGGGGAAAAAGGCGGGAAAACGUGAGGGGAAAAAGGCGGGAAAAUGCCGGAAAAGGCCAAGAAAAAGCCAGAAAAGGCUGGAAAAUGCCGGAAAAUGCUGGAAAAAGGUCAGGAAGAUGCCAGAAAAGGCCCAGAAAAUGCUAGAAAAGGCCGGAAAAAGCCAGAAAAGGCCACAAGGGUGAGGGGAAAAGGCCCGGAAAAGGCAAGAAAAGGGCAAUAAAAGGUCAGGAAAAGGCCGGAAAACUCCGGAAAAGGCCAGAAAAUGCUGGGAAAAGACCAGAAAAUGCUGGAAAAAGGCAAUAAAAGGUCAAGAAAAGUCUGGAAAAGUCCAGAAAAAUCAGGAAAAGGCCGGAAAAAGGCAAUAAAAAGUCAGGAAAAGUCUGGAAAAGUCCAGAAAAAGUCAGGAAAAGGCCAAAAAAGGCCGGAAAAAGGCAAUAAAAGGCCUGGAAAAGGCUGGAAAAGGCCAGAAAAUGCUGGGAAAAGGCAAUAAAAGGCUGGUAAAGGUCAGGAAAAUUCCGGAAAGGUCCGGCGAAGGCUCCGGCGUCAGAAGGCGGCGGCGCCGCGCGUCAGCGUCAGCACGGCGUCCAUCCAGAUGCGCAGCGCCUCGGCGCUCGGCGCCACCAGCCAGAACAGGCGCUCGUAGGUCUUGAGGCAGAAGGUGAGGCGCGGGUUGGGG
rnacentral:lncRNA from 1 species